CAGCCGCCGCGGUAAUACGUAGGUGGCAAGCGUUGUCCGGAAUUACUGGGCGUAAAGGGCUCGCAGGCGGUUUCUUAAGUCUGAUGUGAAAGCCCCCGGCUCAACCGAGGAGGGUCAUUGGAAACUGGGAAACUUGAGUGCAGAAGAGGAGAGUGGAAUUCCACGUGUAGCGGUGAAAUGCGUAGAGAUGUGGAGGAACACCAGUGGCGAAGGCGACUCUCUGGUCUGUAACUGACGCUGAGGAGCGAAAGCGUGGGGAGCGAACAGGAUUAGAUACCCGUGUAGUCCCUGUCUCUUAUAC
rnacentral:rRNA from 1 species